GACGAACGCUUGCGGCGUGCUUAACACAUGCAAGUCGAACGGAAAGGCCCUGCUUUUGUGGGGUGCUCGAGUGGCGAACGGGUGAGUAACACGUGAGUAACCUGCCCUUGACUUUGGGAUAACUUCAGGAAACUGGGGCUAAUACCGGAUAGGAGCUCCUGCUGCAUGGUGGGGGUUGGAAAGUUUCGGCGGUUGGGGAUGGACUCGCGGCUUAUCAGCUUGUUGGUGGGGUAGUGGCUUACCAAGGCUUUGACGGGUAGCCGGCCUGAGAGGGUGACCGGCCACAUUGGGACUGAGAUACGGCCCAGACUCCUACGGGAGGCAGCAGUGGGGAAUAUUGCACAAUGGGCGGAAGCCUGAUGCAGCAACGCCGCGUGCGGGAUGGCGGCCUUCGGGUUGUAAACCGCUUUCGCCUGUGACGAAGCGUGAGUGACGGUAAUGGGUAAAGAAGCACCGGCUAACUACGUGCCAGCAGCCGCGGUGAUACGUAGGGUGCGAGCGUUGUCCGGAUUUAUUGGGCGUAAAGGGCUCGUAGGUGGUUGAUCGCGUCGGAAGUGUAAUCUUGGGGCUUAACCCUGAGCGUGCUUUCGAUACGGGUUGACUUGAGGAAGGUAGGGGAGAAUGGAAUUCCUGGUGGAGCGGUGGAAUGCGCAGAUAUCAGGAGGAACACCAGUGGCGAAGGCGGUUCUCUGGGCCUUUCCUGACGCUGAGGAGCGAAAGCGUGGGGAGCGAACAGGCUUAGAUACCCUGGUAGUCCACGCUGUAAACGGUGGGUACUAGGUGUGGGGUCCAUUCCACGGGUUCCGUGCCGUAGCUAACGCUUUAAGUACCCCGCCUGGGGAGUACGGCCGCAAGGCUAAAACUCAAAGGAAUUGACGGGGCCCCGCACAAGCGGCGGAGCAUGCGGAUUAAUUCGAUGCAACGCGUAGAACCUUACCUGGGUUUGACAUGGAUCGGGAGUGCUCAGAGAUGGGUGUGCCUCUUUUGGGGUCGGUUCACAGGUGGUGCAUGCCUGUCGUCAGCUCGUGUCGUGAGAUGUUGGGUUAAGUCCCGCAACGAGCGCAACCCUUGUUCACUGUUGCCAGCACGUUAUGGUGGGGACUCAGUGGAGACCGCCGGGGUCAACUCGGAGGAAGGUGGGGAUGACGUCAAGUCCUCAUGCCCCUUAUGUCCAGGGCUUCACGCAUGCUACAAUGGCUGGUACAGAGAGUGGCGAGCCUGUGAGGGUGAGCGAAUCUCGGAAAGCCGGUCUCAGUUCGGAUUGGGGUCUGCAACUCGACCUCAUGAAGUCGGAGUCGCUAGUAAUCGCAGAUCAGCAACGCUGCGGUGAAUACGUUCCCGGG
rnacentral:rRNA from 1 species